GUCUCGCGCUCUUUCGUUUCGCUGUAAAAGUUUCCAGCCACUGCCGGCCGAGACACUCGCUUUCGUUCUGUUUGUUUUGACUCGUUGAAAUGCUUUCGCGAAACGCAUUCAGCAGACUUCGGGAGAACGAAGGGACCGUUGAAGCGUUCACCGGAUGAACACUCGUUUCAAGCCCGAGAAUAUACGAACCGCCUCCUGGUCUGACAAAGAAACAGCUGUGUGCAAUGAGCAAGGCACCUGUUACAUGACACGCCUGUAAAGAAGCUAGCCCGAGUGAAACAACAUGCAUUAUAAGGAUUGCCGGGCAACGACAGGAUGACUACCCCCGAAUGUCCACUCUGCAAGUGCGGCGAAACAUGUGAACGUCUGCUACAACAGGUCAUCUUGAACCUCACGCUUGCAAUGCUGUAUUUGUGAAUGG